UAACAAGGUAACACUACUUAGGCU
rnacentral:siRNA from 1 species